rnacentral:rRNA from 1 species
AGUGAACGCUGGCGGUAGGCCUAACACAUGCAAGUCGAACGGCAGCACAGUAAGAGCUUGCUCUUACGGGUGGCGAGUGGCGGACGGGUGAGGAGUACAUCGGAAUCUACUUUUUCGUGGGGGAUAACGUAGGGAAACUUACGCUAAUACCGCAUACGACCUACGGGUGAAAGCAGGGGAUCUUCGGACCUUGCGCGAUUGAAUGAGCCGAUGUCGGAUUAGCUAGUUGGCGGGGUAAAGGCCCACCAAGGCGACGAUCCGUAGCUGGUCUGAGAGGAUGAUCAGCCACACUGGAACUGAGACACGGUCCAGACUCCUACGGGAGGCAGCAGUGGGGAAUAUUGGACAAUGGGCGCAAGCCUGAUCCAGCCAUACCGCGUGGGUGAAGAAGGCCCUCGGGUUGUAAAGCCCUUUUGUUGGGAAAGAAAAGCAGCAGGUUAAUACCCCGCUGUUCUGACGGUACCCAAAGAAUAAGCACCGGCUAACUUCGUG